rnacentral:tRNA from 1 species
AAUAAAUUGCCUGAUAAAAGGGGUACUUUGAUGUAGUAUUUAUGUAAAUUAAUUUACAUUUAUUA